rnacentral:lncRNA from 1 species
AUGAUCACUCUGCAACCUACACCAGGGACCAUUGCUCUGGUGGGCGGGGCCUGCUCACAGCACUGCAGGGGAGGGGCAAGUUGGUGUCAUAAUGUGCAUUAUGCCUGGGGGAUGUUCUGUGUGUCGGGGGAGCUGUGUGACAGCAAAGCUGCAGGAGACCUGGGUACUGCCAAGUCCUUUUUUUCCCCCCAGGAUGAGCAAGCAGAAGCCUCUUUCCAAAAAAUGACCAAAAAGCUACCUACUACUUGGGAAUUGAAUCCCCAUCGUCCCGCGCUCAUCCUGGAGAUACGCUUUCCCAACCACGGGGACAGUUCUGGCGCAGCUCACAACUCUAAGGACUCUGGAUUCCCUGCAGCCCGACCUGGUGGGCCCAGGAAAGAUGGGACCGUGGCAAGCCAACCCUCAGCCCGAGAAGUCACCUCGGCUGUACAUUUCCUCUCCCGCCUGCGUAAAGAGCCUGCAUCAGCCUCUGUGCUUACAACUGGCUUCCUCAUGGAACAGCACUGCCGGCCAUGCACUGCUUGAAAAUAGUUAUUCCGUGUAUCUUGUGCAGUUUGCUCCUUGUUAGCAGAGAGUCCACUUACUGCAUCACAACCAGAAGUGAAAGUCUUCUUUUAUUUUUUGCCUUGUUCUUGCCUCCUCUGUCUCCUUAUCCAAACAUUGAUGCUAUGCACCUAGAAUUUGUACACUUAAAGGCAGUCCAUUUUUAAUUUCAUUAAUAUAAUUCUAUUAUAAACUUUUCCAUUCUGUUUAUUU